rnacentral:rRNA from 1 species
AGUGAACGCUGGCGGUAGGCCUAACACAUGCAAGUCGAACGGCAGCACAGUAAGAGCUUGCUCUUACGGGUGGCGAGUGGCGGACGGGUGAGGAAUACAUCGGAAUCUACUUUUUCGUGGGGGAUAACGUAGGGAAACUUACGCUAAUACCGCAUACGACCUACGGGUGAAAGCAGGGGAUCUUCGGACCUUGCGCGAUUGAAUGAGCCGAUAUCGGAUUAGCUAGUUGGCGGGGUAAAGGCCCACCAAGGCGACGAUCCGUAGCUGGUCUGAGAGGAUGAUCAGCCACACUGGAACUGAGACACGGUCCAGACUCCUACGGGAGGCAGCAGUGGGGAAUAUUGGACAAUGGGCGCAAGCCUGAUCCAGCCAUACCGCGUGGGUGAAGAAGGCCUUCGGGUUGUAAAGCCCUUUUGUUGGGAAAGAAGAGCAGCAGGUUAAUACCCCGCUGUUCUGACGGUACCCAAAGAAUAAGCACCGGCUAACUUCGUG